UGGGCGAAGCCCAGCAACUCCUCCCUGCCAAGUUAUAAAAUGUUUGUCAAGUCGUGGCGUUGGCCUUCAGAGAGUGGUGACAGGAGCAGCAACAUAGAAGACACGAAACUGCUGCAAACAUGAGAAGCUGGGUCAGAUUAACUCUCGUGCUCCUGGCUCUGCCAUCUGUACUAUGCUCCAGUUAUUCAGAUGAAG